UGGGGAAUUUUGGACAAUGGGCGAAAGCCUGAUCCAGCAAUGCCGCGUGUGUGAAGAAGGCCUUCGGGUUGUAAAGCACUUUUGUCCGGAAAGAAAUCCUCUGGGUUAAUACCUCGGGGGGAUGACGGUACCGGAAGAAUAAGCACCGGCUAACUACGUGCCAGCAGCCGCGGUAAUACGUAGGGUGCAAGCGUUAAUCGGAAUUACUGGGCGUAAAGCGUGCGCAGGCGGUUUUGUAAGACGGAUGUGAAAUCCCCGGGCUUAACCUGGGAACUGCAUUCGUGACUGCAAGGCUAGAGUAUGGCAGAGGGGGGUUAGAAUUCCACGUGUAGCAGUGAAAUGCGUAGAGAUGUGGAGGAAUACCGAUGGCGAAGGCAGCCCCCUGGGCCAAUACUGACGCUCAUGCACGAAAGCGUGGGGAGCAAACAGGAUUAGAUACCCUGGUAGUCCACGCCCUAAACGAUGUCAACUAGUUGUUGGGGAUUCAUUUCCUUAGUAACGUAGCUAACGCGUGAAGUUGACCGCCUGGGGAGUACGGUCGCAAGAUUAAAACUCAAAUGAAUUGAC
rnacentral:rRNA from 1 species